UGGUUAAGACAAAGUAAUUCAUCUGUUAGGUUGUUGAUCUGUAUUAUAGGUACAUUUUAAGGAAACACAGCCCCUAGGAUACACUGAAACUUCAUUUAUGUUCAACAGUAAUCAGAUAAUCAUUAGAUAUAAGAAGGAGACAAAAGUCAAGGUUUAGGGGUUUGAUGCUGAAAAAUAUCUCUCAAGAACAGAGUGCUCCUUCUCUGUGAUGACCAAAUCAUGCCUGAGAAAAAGUCUAAGUGAGAGGCAGGCAAAUUUUUGCAAUUAAAUUCCAACACAUAAUGUUAAUAUUCUUGUUCUCAGGGUUUUUUUCUGUAAUUUUUUCCCCCAAUUUUAUAAUAGAAAACUAAGUCUUUGCUUGUUAACUCUUCAUUAAGAUCAUCUGUCAAAAGCAAGCUUACAAAACUUUACAAGUAAAAGUACUCUGUUUCUCCAGAAAUAACAUGUUCAAAGAAGGCAUUAAAUACACACAAGUCCUUCUAGUGUCUGAAGCACAGAAUGAGUUUAGGUUUCACACAAGCUCAUGGGUGUUUUCCCACCAAGUUUCUAGGCUCAGUGUGAAUGUUGGUAAGUGAAUUUCUUAGGGAGAAAUUCCCCACAUCGGCAAACACCAGUGUCCUUCUGGCAAGGAGGAGUUAGUUGUGAGACAGUUUGAAAUUUAACAAAUUCCAUGUUGUCACAGAGGGCCUCUUUUAUGUAUUCAUACACCACUACCACACACUCAUCUUUUGGGAAUGUAUUUUGUUGUCCUUCAGGCGGUGCCUGACACAAAGAAGAUCAGUAGACCACUGGAAAUAUUUGUACAUGCAUCAAAAAUAACCAGAGUGUUUCCCAGAUCAGUUUUAUACCUAAAAAUAAAAAAAAAGUUGUGACAAAAAAAGAGAACAAAGUUUUGAUUUAAAACAACUCAGUCUUUUUUCCUCAUUCUGAGGGCGAGGCACCAGAUAUUGAAUUAGGUUCUUCAGUCAUUACAUUCCUCCAAAUAACCUUACCCUUAAAAAUAAUUCUAGCCAAGGGAACCAUCCAUCCAGAGAAGGAAACAUAAGCUGUUGACCACAAUUGAUUCCAGAUCUCUUCAGUCUUCUUCCUGAGGGCUGCUCAGUACCAAGAACAAAACUAGACACCAAUUUCAGGGUUGUAAAGCCCCAGCCUAAGACUAAUUAUGGCAAAAGGAACUAUAUAUAAAGUAAAAAAAAAGAAAAAUUGUUGACAAGAUCUCCAGCUCUAUUCCAAACUCUUGUGGGCAGAAUAGAAUUAACUGGCUUCUUCAAGUUUUUAUAUUCCCAAAUCCUAAUUCAAACCUAAUCCUAAUGCUACCUAUUGCCACAGGUCCCAUCCUUCCAAAAAGAGAACAUAAAUUAUUGACCACAGUCAACACCAGCCCAAUUUCAGGGCAAGGCUUGUUUUUUGCCAAUAAUUUAUAUUGACUUACACUGGAGAGAAAGGUCUGCUGGCCAUAUUUGAGUUAAACUUCUGAAUCAAAUUAGGAUUUAGGCUGGGAUGGGAUCCACCUCACUAAGCAGGGCACGUGUGUCUUUGCCAACAGGUUGGUCAGCCUCUUAAGG
ensembl:lncRNA